GUCUUUUUGAUAAUAAUUUAAAGUCUAGCCUGCCCAAUGAGGAGUUGAAUGGCCGCGGUAAUUUGACCGUGCAAAGGUAGCAUAAUCAUUAGUUUUUUAAUUGAAAGCUGGUAUGAACGGCUGGACGAGAAAGUGACUGUCUCAAUUUAAUUGUGAUUAGAAUUUUAUCUAUAAGUAAAAAAGCUUAUAUAAUUUUAAAAGACGAGAAGACCCUAUAGAAUUUUAUAAUUACAUUUUUAUAUUAUGAUUGGGAUUGUAAGUUUAAUAGAUUUGGGGUUAUUUUGUUGGGGCGACAGAAAAAUUAAGUUAACUUUUUCUUUUUUUGUAUCAUUGAUUUAUGUUUACUUGAUCCGUUUAUAACGAUUAUAAGAUUAAAUUACCUUAGGGAUAACAGCGUAAUUUUUUUUUAGAGUUCUUAUCGAAAAAAGAGUUUGCGACCUCGAUGUUGGAUUAAAAUUAACUUUUGGUGUAGGGGCUAAAAGGUUAGGUCUGUUCGACCUUUAAAAUUUUACAUGAUCUGAGU
rnacentral:rRNA from 1 species